AUCCAGCUGAAGAGUCCCGAAUAGGACGAAACGCGCGUCCCAGAU
rnacentral:hammerhead_ribozyme from 1 species